rnacentral:rRNA from 1 species
AGUGAACGCUGGCGGUAGGCCUAACACAUGCAAGUCGAACGGCCGCACAGUAAGAGCGUGCUCUUAUGGGUGGCGAGUGGCGGACGGGUGAGGAAUACCUCGCACUCUACUUUUACUUGGGCGAUAACGACGGGAAACUGACGCUAAUACAUCAUACGACCUACGGCUGAAAGCAGGGGCCAUUCGGCCCUUGCGCGAGUGAAUGAGCCGAUGCCCGUUUAGCUAGUUGGCGCGGUAAACGCCCACCAAGGCGACGAUCCGUAGCUGAUCUGAGAGGAUGAUCAGCCCCACUGGCACUGGGACACGCUCCAGACCCCUGCGGGAGGCAGCAGUGGGGAAUUUUGGACAAUGGGCGCAAGCCUGCUCCAGCCCUACCGCGUGGGUGAAGAAGGCCUUCGGGUUGUAAAGCCCUUUUGUUGGGACAGACACGCAGCAGGUUAGUACCUCGCCGUUCUCACGGUACCCAGAGAAUAAGCACCCGCUACCUUCGUG